AGGUCCUUCUGUGGCUCAGUUGGUAGAGUGGGUUCGAUUCCCGGGACCACCCAUACGUAGAAUGUAUGCACACAUGACUGUAAGUUGCUUUGGAUAAAAGCGUCUGCUAAAUGGCAUAUAUUAUUAUUAUAUUGAAGCUGGUGUUAUGACAUAUUAAAGGUGGUGUUAUGACAUAUUUAAAGUGGUGUUAUGACAUAUUGAAGGUGGUGUUAUAACAUAUUGAAGGUGGUGUUAUGACAUAUUGAAGGUGCUGUUAUGACAUAUUGAAGGUGGUGUUAUAACAUAUUGAAGGUGGUGUUAUGACAUAUUGAAGGUGGUGUUAUAACAUAUUGAAGGUGGUGUUAUGACAUAUUGAAGGUGCUGUUAUGACAUAUUGAAGGUGGUGUUAUAACAUAUUGAAGGUGGUGUUAUGACAUAUUGAAGGUGGUGUUAUAACAUAUUGAAGGUGGUGUUAUGACAUAUUGAAGGUGGUGUUAUGACAUAUUGAAGGUGGUGUUAUGACAUAUUAAAGGUGGUGUUAUGACAUAUUUAAAGUGGUGUUAUGACAUAUUGAAGGUGGUGUUAUAACAUAUUGAAGGUGGUGUUAUGACAUAUUGAAGGUGCUGUUAUGACAUAUUGAAGGUGGUGUUAUAACAUAUUGAAGGUGGUGUUAUGACAUAUUGAAGGUGCUGUUAUGACAUAUUGAAGGUGGUGUUAUAACAUAUUGAAGGUGGUGUUAUGACAUAUUGAAGGUGGUGUUAUAACAUAUUGAAGGUGGUGUUAUGACAUAUUGAAGGUGCUGUUAUGACAUAUUGAAGGUGGUGUUAUAACAUAUUGAAGGUGGUGUUAUGACAUAUUGAAGGUGGUGUUAUGACAUAUUGAAGCUGGUGUUAUAACAUAUUUAAGGUGGUGUUAUGACAUUGAAGGUGCUGUUAUGACAUAUUGAAGGUGGUGUUAUAACAUAUUGAAGGUGGUGUUAUGACAUAUUGAAGGUGCUGUUAUGACAUAUUGAAGCUGGUGUUAUGACAUAUUAAAGGUGGUGUUAUGACAUAUUGAAGGUGCUGUUAUGACAUAUUGAAGGUGGUGUUAUAACAUAUUGAAGGUGGUGUUAUGACAUAUUGAAGGUGGUGUUAUGACAUAUUAAAGGUGGUGUUAUGACAUAUUGAAGGUUGUGUUAUAACAUAUUGACGGUGCUGUUAUGACAUAUUGAAGGUGCUGUUAUGACAUAUUGAAGGUGGUGUUAUAACAUAUUUAAGGUGGU